UACGGGGGGGGCAAGCGUUGUUCGGAAUUACUGGGCGUAAAGGGCUCGUAGGCGGCCAACUAAGUCGGACGUGAAAUCCCUCGGCUCAACCGGGGAACUGCGUCCGAUACUGGAUGGCUCGAGUCCGGGAGAGGGAUGCGGAAUUCCGGUGUAGCGGUGAAAUGCGUAGAUAUCGGAAGGAACACCAGUGGCGAAAGCGGCUUCCUGGUCCAGCACCGACGUUCAGGCACGAAAGCGUGGGGAGCAAACAGG
rnacentral:rRNA from 1 species